AAACGAAUAAGCUAAUAACCUGAUAAGAAAGAAACUACGCAUGAGAGAAGUCGAAAGUCGGAGCAAUCUGACACUAUAAGAUGGCUUUGCGGUGCAUUAGCUAGUUGGUAGGGUAAAAGCCUACCAAGGCGACGAUGCAUAGCCGACCUGAGAGGGUGAUCGGCCACAUUGGGACUGAGACACGGCCCAGACUCCUACGGGAGGCAGCAGUA
rnacentral:rRNA from 1 species